rnacentral:lncRNA from 1 species
GCUACGCUGAGACUCUACUUUGAUGACACAGGUGCUGGGAUAUGAAUGACAGCACAGCUCUGUGGUGGGUGAUCAAAGGCCCUGUGGUUGGCUCUAUCAUGUUAACUUUGUGCUUUUUAUUGGCAUUAUCGUCAUCCUUGUGCAGAAACUUCAGUCUCCAGACAUGGGAGGCAAUGAGUCCAGCAUCUACUUUGCGUGCAGAAAUGCUACUGCAAGCCACAGCGGGCUCAGCAGCACUCUUGCAAGAUGUCAGAACUGUCCACCAUUACUCUCGACUGGCCCGGUCCACCCUGCUGCUCAUCCCACUAUUCGGAAUCCACUACACAGUAUUUGCCUU